GAUGAACGCUCGCUACAGGCUUAACACAUGCAAGUCGAGGGGAAACGACAUCGAAAGCUUGCUUUUGAUGGGCGUCGACCGGCGCACGGGUGAGUAACGCGUAUCCAACCUGCCCAUCACUUGGGAAUAACCUUGCGAAAGUAAGACUAAUACCCAAUGAUAUCCCACGAAGGCAUCGGAAUGGGAUUAAAGAUUUAUCGGUGAUGGAUGGGGAUGCGUCUGAUUAGCUUGUUGGCGGGGUAACGGCCCACCAAGGCAACGAUCAGUAGGGGUUCUGAGAGGAAGGUCCCCCACAUUGGAACUGAGACACGGUCCAAACUCCUACGGGAGGCAGCAGUGAUGAAUAUUGGUCAAUGGGCGAGAGCCUGAACCAGCCAAGUAGCGUGCAGGAAGACGGCCCUAUGGGUUGUAAACUGCUUUUAGAAGGGAAUAAAGUGGGUCACGUGUGACUUUUUGCAUGUACCUUAUGAAUAAGAACCGGCUAAUUCCGUG
rnacentral:rRNA from 1 species